GGAUAACGUUUGGAAACGAACGCUAAUACCGCAUGAUAUUAUUGAGCUGCAUGGCUUGAUAAUCAAAGGAGCAAUCCGCUGAAAGAUGGGCUCGCGUCCGAUUAGGUAGUUGGCGGGGCAACGGCCCACCAAGCCGACGAUCGGUAGCCGGACUGAGAGGUUGAACGGCCACAUUGGGACUGAGACACGGCCCAGACUCCUACGGGAGGCAGCAGUGAGGGAUAUUGGUCAAUGGGGGAAACCCUGAACCAGCAACGCCGCGUGAGGGAAGACGGUUUUCGGAUUGUAAACCUCUGUCCUCUGUGAAGAUAAUGACGGUAGCAGAGGAGGAAGCUCCGGCUAACUACGUGCCAGCAGCCGCGGUAAUACGUAGGGAGCAAGCGUUGUCCGGAUUUACUGGGUGUAAAGGGUGCGUAGGCGGCUUUGCAAGUCAGAAGUGAAAUCCAUGGGCUUAACCCAUGAACUGCUUUUGAAACUGCAGAGCUUGAGUGGAGUAGAGGUAGGCGGAAUUCCCGGUGUAGCGGUGAAAUGCGUAGAGAUCGGGAGGAACACCAGUGGCGAAGGCGGCCUGCUGGGCUCUAACUGACGCUGAGGCACGAAAGCGUGGGUAGCAAACAGGAUUAGAUACCCUGGUAGUCCACGCUGUAAACGAUGAUUACUAGGUGUGGGUGGACUGACCCCAUCCGUGCCGGAG
rnacentral:rRNA from 1 species